CUGAGCUGGCUGCAGUGAGGCUCUGAGAAUCUACUGCAACAUCUGGUGGACAAAAGGUUCUCGAUCUCAUCUGAGAUCCAAAUGUGCUCCGCUGCAGUUUUGCUGAGAAUAUGUUUUCAUGAGGAAAAGUUCAGAGGGGAGGAAGAUGCGGCAAAAGAAGAAUGAAAAUCUAUGUAAGGAGACCUGGAUCUGGAAGUGACAUGAGGAUUCUGUCUCAGCAG